GAUAAACGCUGGCGGCGUGCCUAACACAUGCAAGUCGAACGUCCUUUUUUCGCAAGAGAGAAGGGAGUGGCGGACGGGUGAGUAACACAUGGGUACCUACCUUCGAGUGAGGAAUACCGGCGAGAAAUCGCCGACAAGACCGCAUAGGCUUCUUUUGAAAGAGGGAAGCAAAGUCACUACGCGAGUAGUGGCGCUGGAAGAUGGGCCUGUGGCCGAUUAGCUAGUUGGGGGGGUAAUGGCCUCCCAAGGCGUCGAUCGGUAGCUGGUCUGAGAGGAC
rnacentral:rRNA from 1 species